CCAUACACACCCACACACUACCGAAAAUACUCAAAACACCCCCACACACAUCCAGAACAUGUCUACACACACACACACAAGUGAAGUGAAGUGUUGAUAUAUUACCGACAGUUUUCAAGCAGCACCAAGCACCAGUUAGGCGACAAGACAAGCACUGCAAGAUUUCGCCACAACCCUCCACACUGCCUUAUCUUCGUCAAUUAAAGGCCCAGACGUGUAUAUGGAAACAAUAGAAGGAAGACGAAGGAGAAAAAAUGGAGGAGGAUGAAGAAGAAAUGAGAAAUAGAAACGAAAUAGGAGAAGGAGCCAAGGUGUAAUAUUUAGACGACUGCGCAUUGCUCAACUAUAUCAUCCUUGAAUGAGUGAAGAAGAAAUGGGGCGUACUCAACCUCCAAUACCUCGUCCAUAACUGGUGGCUUUGGUGGAAGUGGAGGACGUGACCCAAGCACAUGUGUGGCUUUGUGUGGUUCACCAUGGAUGUCUACAGCCGCUCUCUCCUUAUCCACAGGGCAACUCAUCCCGGAGAGUUUAUUUAUAAAUACCAUUGUGCCUCACUUAUUAUGUAUUAUGUAUAUAAUUGUUAAUCUAACACAGUAUUAGUGGUUAAAGUGUUACUGCAUUUCUUCUUCACCGCAGAUGUGUAUGUUACUAUUAUAUCAUGAUGAAUUAAAGAAAUGUUAACAAAGGUGCGUUCACUUUAUUUCUAACCACGGCAAAGUAAAUAAAUAUAUAAAGUUUCUGCCUACCGUGUCGUGUCGCCUGGAUGGA